AUGGCCAUGGGGCUGGGAAGAUUCACACACUGGCUCUGGCCGGGUAACGCCGCGCGAGUUGGCCACCACGAGCUCCCCGGCAUCGCCUUGACGGGCGCCUCCUUCCCGGAGUUCCCCUCCGGGUUCCGUGAGGCUGACGCUAUCGCCGCCGCCGCCGGCCGCCGCACGCGGCCGAGGAGGGUCAAGAACCAGCGGCGCAGUCGCGGGGAGCCCAGGAUCGACAGGGAGUACGACAUGGUCAUCGUGCCGUCCGACGGCGGCGGUUGCCUUUCCGGGUCAGAGUCCGACGACUCCGACUGGUCCAUCGGCUGGCUGGAGCCGCAGGCGCCGGAGAUGCAGACGGACGGUGACCAGGAGACCUCCUUCGCAGUUCUCGUCCCCUGCUACCGCCACGGCCGCGCCGAGCAGCCCGCGAUGCCCCAGGGACGGUUCCUUGGCGCUGGCCCUCUCGCCGAUGGCGGCCUCUCUGAUGGAAAGAAUUUUGUAGAACAGUGGCUUUCUUCCCUCCAGAACUGA
rnacentral:rRNA from 1 species